rnacentral:rRNA from 1 species
UGGGGAAUAUUCCGCAAUGGACGAAAGUCUGACGGAGCAACGCCGCGUGAGUGAUGAAGGUUUUCGGACUGUAAAGCUCUGUUGUUUAGGACGAAAGUGCCUGUUGCAAAUAGUUGCAGGUAUUGACGGUACUGAACGAGGAAGCCACGGCUAACUACGUGCCAGCAGCCGCGGUAAUACGUAGGUGGCAAGCGUUGUCCGGAAUUAUUGGGCGUAAAGAGCAUGUAGGCGGAAAUUUAAGUCUGUUGUGAAAAUGCGGGGCUCAACCCCGUAUUGCGAUGGAAACUGGGUUUCUUGAGUGCAGGAGAGGAAAGGGGAAUUCCCAGUGUAGCGGUGAAAUGCGUAGAUAUUGGGAGGAACACCAGUGGCGAAGGCGCCUUUCUGGACUGUGUCUGACGCUGAGAUGCGAAAGCUAGGGGAGCGAACGGG